rnacentral:rRNA from 1 species
AUUGAACGCUGGCGGCAGGCCUAACACAUGCAAGUCGAGCGGAUGAAGGGAGCUUGCUCCUGGAUUCAGCGGCGGACGGGUGAGUAAUGCCUAGGAAUCUGCCUGGUAGUGGGGGAUAACGUCCGGAAACGGGCGCUAAUACCGCAUACGUCCUGAGGGAGAAAGUGGGGGAUCUUCGGACCUCACGCUAUCAGAUGAGCCUAGGUCGGAUUAGCUAGUUGGUGGGGUAAAGGCCUACCAAGGCGACGAUCCGUAACUGGUCUGAGAGGAUGAUCAGUCACACUGGAACUGAGACACGGUCCAGACUCCUACGGGAGGCAGCAGUGGGGAAUAUUGGACAAUGGGCGAAAGCCUGAUCCAGCCAUGCCGCGUGUGUGAAGAAGGUCUUCGGAUUGUAAAGCACUUUAAGUUGGGAGGAAGGGCAGUAAGUUAAUACCUUGCUGUUUUGACGUUACCAACAGAAUAAGCACCGGCUAACUUCGUGCCAGCAGCCGCGGUAAUACGAAGGGUGCAAGCGUUAAUCGGAAUUACUGGGCGUAAAGCGCGCGUAGGUGGUUCAGCAAGUUGGAUGUGAAAUCCCCGGGCUCAACCUGGGAACUGCAUCCAAAACUACUGAGCUAGAGUACGGUAGAGGGUGGUGGAAUUUCCUGUGUAGCGGUGAAAUGCGUAGAUAUAGGAAGGAACACCAGUGGCGAAGGCGACCACCUGGACUGAUACUGACACUGAGGUGCGAAAGCGUGGGGAGCAAACAGGAUUAGAUACCCUGGUAGUCCACGCCGUAAACGAUGUCGACUAGCCGUUGGGAUCCUUGAGAUCUUAGUGGCGCAGCUAACGCGAUAAGUCGACCGCCUGGGGAGUACGGCCGCAAGGUUA